UCACAUCGUCAAAACCACCCUAGAAUCAUGGCCUCUCCCUUAAUUCUAUGGAAGCCGUCUUCUUUAGGAGUCUUCUUCUUAUUCUACUCGCUCUUCUUCGUAAACAACAUCACCAUCUUUGUUUCCACUCCAUUUCAUAAGUCUUUUCUCAAUAUUAUGAUCAUUUUCUAUACUCCAACAUUUUAAUGGUAACGCGAAUUAAUAGAAAAAUAAGAUGAGAGAUAAUUUCUAAAUUAUAGAGAAAAAGACUUAUGAUGUCUUAUGCUAAUAGAAAUUGAUGUGAAUUACAAACAGGUUAAUUUAACCAUAAACAUUUUCACUUUCAUAUUAAUUCAAUUCAUCCAGCCAAUUUAAAUUAGAAAUUACUCACAUAAAUACUGGUAAUAAUACGUGGCAUAACCGAUGUUGAAGUGGAUAUUUUUUAUAAUUUUUAUGAUCUUUUUCUUUCUUCCUUUGUUUUUUUCUUCCUUUGUUUUUAUUUCUCUAUUCUUUUUGUUGGUAGCCAGCAAGGGCUGGUAGUGCCUAGGUGAGGAUCGCUCUUGCUAGCCAUAGGCAACAGUCAAUCUCACUAAGUUGCGCUUGAGCAAGAGUUGGCCUUGACAAGGCCCAGCUUUUAUCAUAUUUAUUUCAUUUUGUUUUCCACAAAUUCAAAUCAUUGAAAAAGAGGACAUAACUCCUUUUCUAUUUUACUUCUCUUGUUUGUUAUGUAUCAUAAUUAAUGGAAACAUAAGAGUGGUCAAAUGAUACGUCAUCAAAUGAUUGUUAGGAAGGUGGCAGCUUACAAAAAAACCAAGAAUGAAGAAUGAAAGGAAGGAGAAAUUCAAAUAAAAAAGAAAAAUAAAGUGAUUGGGGGUAGGAAUCCAAUUUUGGAUUUGGUAUGGAUAAAAGAUCCCUGACUUAGGCGAGGGUUGGCUCGCCAAUGCUUAACCCUCUUUUCCUCUUUUCCUCCAGAAAUUCCUUUUCACAAAAUCUAUUCUUUUUGCUUGUCGAACUUAGUAAUAUAAUCCACAAAGGAGUAUCUGGAGGAUUUAGCCUUUGGGCGUCGUAGAAACGGCAAGGUUGAUGACAAGUGGAACUUCGAGGUCAAGAGUUUUGAGUAGAAGAGGAGUAGGGUUUAAGGUUGAAUACGAAGAAGGAAGUGACAAAAAAAUCAAAUCUUGGCAGAAUUUAUGCUUUCUAAAAUCGGCCCUCUAUACAUAAAGAUAUGAUUCAUGAUAAUAACAAUUCAUGAAUCGUGUCGAUUGAAGUAACGUGUCAGGAAGCUAUGAGGUAGCAGACUGCACAUAGAGUACAAAGCUUCAGAGGUACAAUAUGCAUUAGUUUUGUCCGCGAAACAAAGACCCACAUAUUUUGGAUAUUUUAAAAGAAACCAAAAUUGCUUUUAAUUCUUUUAAAAGGAGGCAUAUAUUUGCACUAAAUAUAACCAGGUCAUCAAUAUGGAUAGGCACACGACUCGAAUACAAGUUAUUAUUUAAUGCAUGAGCCAUCGUUGACGGCCAUAAAAAUAGUACUUAUAUCAACAUACAUCCACGACCAUUAAUCAACUGUCAUUAUAAGACAGCGUACAAUUGAUGAUGAUGAACAUCAUAGUAGAAUUGGUUGGCAAAGAUACCAAUUAAAGAGAAUCACUUAUUGAGAUUGCGAAUAGGGAAGUAAUAUAUGAGAAGUGCCAAAAAACAGUUAUGACAUUCCAAAUUGAAAUCAUUUAUGGAAGAGACAGAGUUAAAGUUUAGUAGAUCAUGGGAAAAAGAUUAAGUUCAAGCAAGGGUGAAGGAUCAAGGUGCAAUUUUUAAGGAGAAACCACCUUAACACAAUAUUGUGGUGUCAUCGGAAUAUAGGAUCGAGAUCCUCAGCGAUAUGGAGGCAUGACUAAAACCACAACGAAACUGCUUUAGAGUGGUUAUGUCGCAGGCAUUAUAUUAUGCUAGUGCUCAACUACUAGAGACCACCUCCCUCUCUAUGCUCGGUGCACAAACAAAUAAUAUGUUAUCAUCCAAACCAUUAACCGCUAUUGAAAUUCAAUCAUCCAAACCAUUAACUGCUGUUGAAACUCAAUCAUCCAAACCAAUUCAUACAAAACAGGUCAAUUCUGAAAUUUAUUGCUCAGUGCAUUGACACUUGAGAUUUCACUAAAUGUCUUCAUCUAUCGAAAACCUUUAUCUGAUGGUAUAUGAAAGAAAAUUUUUAAUCAUAUAUGUAUUAUCAUUUGAAGUCUCUUUAAUAUAGUAUCCUUGUCUCUGCUUUUGCAUCCAAUAUUUUAUUUAAAAAAUGUGAGAUUGUCAUUGGAUAAUUGUAUAUUUUUCACAUCUUUAUGUUACGGUUAUAUAUAAAUAUUACAGUAAAACCCGUUUGAUUGUGAGCUACGACCUUUUUUCAAUGAAUUGUAAAGGUAGAGGUGAUCCGUGCUCCGAUUAAGGCAUCCAGCCUAAAUUUUCACUGAAGUUCCUCCAUCAUAAAAGUAUGCUUUACGUAAAUAUUCUGCCCCACCAUGUGUAACACGAGGAGAGUCCAUGACUCGCGAGUGAAGACCAGCAAAAGUAAGUCGGGAAUUUUAUCAGUUAAAAAAAGGAAUAAGAAUCAAAGUGGGCUCCUGACGAGAAAUUACUUGAUGCACGAGCAAAUGUGAUCUUCUCAAUGGUAUGACAUUCAUCAUGAUGAUUUUUUCUGGCAAUUGCUCGAUCAAACUACUAUAUAAGAAAGAUUAUGUCUAGUAACUGGUUAAUGCCUAUAAAGAACCUACGUGGGACUUAAUUGUAUUUCAUAAUUUUUGACUGAACCGAAUUCAUUUCGUACAAAUAUCAGGUUGAACUGCUGCCUCUGUAAGGGAGAGAAGGUUUUACAGUCUGGAAAUGAGAGAAGGAAAGCUAUAAUGUUUGGCCCCGUGCUUGCAUCAUCGUUCCUCCGAUGAUAUCGACUAUCACUCUCAUAGACUUGCGUCGAUUGAAGACUUGAGCAAAUCAAUAACUUGGGAUUUAAGUAUACUGACACAUAAGUUGAUCUUUUUUCCACAAAUUUACUUGACUAACUAGGUCAAUUUUAAUGAAGACUUGGAAAAGUAGGUGGAGCAUGAAUAUUGAAAAAUGAUCAAGAUCCCAUAAAAUGCCCUCUCGGUCAGCAGAGCAAGAUAACAAAUAUGAUUGAGAUUCAUCAUUUUGUUCUGUUUACAUCAUCCCCGUAUUUUUGAAUGUUUGCUAAAAUAAAAGAAAAUAAGGAAAGAUUUAUCUCACAAUUUAUUGUCAAUGCGGGAAAAAAAAAAUCUUCACGACAAGGCCCAAUUUGCCCCUUCAUUUGAUGGCACUUGAAGCCUACAAGUGGAGUAACUUUUUGCAAGCAACAUGGACGGCAUAUUCACUAGAGAAAAUCUUACUGCGUUCCCUACUUAAAAAGACGAUGUGAAAAUAAAAUGAAUCUAGCUAACAAGUGUCCUAGAGACACUUGUUAAACAUGCUUAACGCAGAAAGAUUCGAUUUACAUAAUAUUGAUUGUGUAUGUCACGAGGUGCAUUAUAAUUUGCGAUAUUUUGUUAUUUUGUUACUUAACAAAUGCCGUGCAGACAUUCUUCAAAUAAAGUCCUAGUAAAAUUUAUUCUUGUACAAACGGAGCAUCAACCUAGUAAAAAGUGAGUAAAACUCCCGAGAAGUUGAGCCAUAUAGCAUGCUUAUGCACGAAACUCUUGGUAAUUUGUUUUUGAUUAUGACUUUAGCAAAUCUUUAAUCCUAACAUAUCUCUAACUCUACAUCUCUAGUCUUAAGCAAAUUUUGAUUAAAAAAGUCUAUUAUUGGCAUACUUUCAUUGUAUUUUUAUUCAUGAUUCUCUAAGAGAACUACGCAUAUUUUUGGUAAUAAAUGCUUUAAAAAAGAUUUUAUAUAUAUAGAUUUUAUCUCGAAAUGUCAGCAAUUUCUAUCUUUAUAUAAACUUGUUCAAGACGAGAUUUUGAAAGAAUUUAACAGUCUAAGGAUACCUAUCUUGUGAUUGGCUCAUAUUUAACAAAUUAUAUAUUAAAAGACAAUGGGCUCUUAUUUGACAAUUAAAGAAUAUUAAAAUCAUGUCUGAUAAAUAAUUAUAUUAGAUGAUCAAUCUCAAAUUGGUCUGAUAUUUGACAAAUAAAUAUAUUAGAAAAUCAAUGAAAAAAUCCAUCAUCGCAGACUAUCUAUCUCAUUGUUGACUCACAUUUUAGAGUAAUCUAUUUGAAAGAUCAAUCUCAUUUUGGCUUCAUAUUUGACAAAUGAAUAAUAUUAAAAUCAUAUUUAUAGUAAUAUUACAUAAUCAAUAACAUAUUGAACUAAUAUUUGGCAAAUAAACAAUAUGAAACGACCUGCGUCAUAUUGUAUUCAUAUUACGCACCUCAGCCACCAGCAUUUUAUGUUUCUUGGUCAAUCUAGAUUCAUGUAAUUUAAAUCCAAUUGCUCGCGUGAUUUUCUUGCCAUCAACUUCAAGAACCUCAAAAUUGAGCGAGUGACUUAUUCUAGAUUUCGUUUGCAAAACCCGAGAUCAACCCCGUGCCUUUACUCAGUUGUCAACCGUCCACAAAGAACCAAAGCGGAUGAGUCCAAAGUCGAUUAAUGUUCCAUUUGUACGUGAAGGUUUGUGGGUCCUAGUCUGUCGAUGUGUUCAGUGUAGACUAUUCAAAGUCUUGUGGAGAUAAUGCCGGUCUUCUGAGCAAAAUGCGAUAAAAGGAAUACUGUUGCUAACAUGAUAAUCUCUGUACAAAAUGCUAACAUGAAAAAAAUAAGAAAUGUGAGGACGAGACUCAUUAACUUCUUGAUCCCCGCCAUGAUAACAUCCUUCCCACGAAUAGUUUGUCAGCUAAUAAUAAUGCAUAACACAAGUCAUUUCUCGAUAACAUGAUAAUUUUCUAUAUUCCAACGGUUUAAUGGUAACGUGAAUUGACAGAAAGAUGAGACGAGAGAUAAUUACAGCAAGAAAGACUUAUGAUGUCUUAUGCUAAUAGAAAUUGACAUGAAUUACGAACACUAACAUGAAUUGUCAUGCUUAGAUGAAAAUAUAUAUUAAAGAUUUUGCCAAUAUAAUUUUUAGAAAGGAUUUUAAUGAGGGAAACAAAACUUUACAUACGAAAUGGUGGAUCGCACAACCCAUUAAAGCAGGUUGCGUUAAAAAGGAUAGAGGCUGUGUGGUUUAGAUGAAUUCUGGACAUACAUGACAAGAACUCCAUGUUUGACUGUUUCAAAACGAUAGCGAUACAUGCUUUGUCCAUGAUUGAGGCCUCAUCUAACGAUGAUUAGCCAUCUAUAUAUAUCUUAUCAAUCUUGUUGUUGAGAACAUGCAAACCUGGAUAAUCUCACAUCGUCAAAACCACCCCAAAAUCAUGGCCUCUUCCUUAUUUCCGUGGAAGCUGUCUUCUUUAGGGGUCUUCUUCCUAUUCUACUUGCUCUUCUUCGUAAACAACAUCACCAUCUUUGUUUCCACUCCAUUUCAUGGCAUAGUCGUUUUUGCUUCCUCCAUUUCUUUCGCUUCCAAUAUGACCAACCAUACGGAUGAAGCAAAGACUCUCCUGAAAUGGAAAUCUAGUCUCGAAGACCACAACCAAUCUCUCCUGUCUUCAUGGCAAGGUAACAACUCUUGCCACUUCAUGGGUGUCACUUGUGACGACAAUGGAUUCGUUGCCCAUCUUAAUCUUUCUAAUCUCGGCCUGAGAGGAACUUUAAAUAGUCUUGACUUCUCGCACUUAACCAAGGUGGUUAGCCUUGACUUUUCCAGCAACUCGAUCUAUGGUGCUAUGACCUCAAGUAUUAGUAACCUUUCCAAACUCAAGUAUCUUAAUUUUUGUGACAAUAGAUUGAGUGGACACAUUCCUUGGGAGAUUGGAUUGUUAGAUUCUCUUUCUGAAGUUUCUUUUAGCAAAAACAACCUCAAAGGUCCUAUCCCUACUUCACUUGGAAAAUUAGGCAACUUAAGAAAUUUGAGCCUAGCAAAGAAUGACCUUUCUGGUCCCAUUCCAAGAGAGAUAGGUGACCUAAGAAGAUUGAAGUUUCUUUACUUAUGGAUGAACCAACUUUCGGGAUCCAUACCUGCAGAGAUUGGGAGGCUAACCGGUCUUAUUGACUUAGGAUUUUCUGAUAAUAAGUUGGUCGGGCGUAUCCCUGCUUCACUAGGAAACCUAAGCAGUCUAAAUGUCCUCUAUCUUUAUGGAAACCAACUUUCGAGAUCCAUACCUUCAGAGAUUGGGAGGCUAACCAAUCUUAUUGAAUUAGAUUUUUCUGAUAAUAAGUUGGUCGGGCAUAUCCCUGCUUCACUAGGAAACCUAAGCAGUCUAAAUGUUCUUUAUCUUGACAGAAACCAAAUUUUAGGGUCCAUUCCUCCUUCUCUUGGAAAAUUAGGCAACUUAAGAAAUUUGAGCCUAGCAAAGAAUGACCUUUCUGGUCCCAUUCCAAGAGAGAUAGGUGACCUAAGAAGAUUGAAGUUUCUUUACUUAUGGACGAACCAACUUUCGGGAUCCAUACCUGCAGAGAUUGGGAGGCUAACCGGUCUUAUUGACUUAGGAUUUUCUGAAAAUAAGUUGGUCGGGCGUAUCCCUGCUUCACUAGGAAACCUAAGCAGUCUAAAUGUCCUCUAUCUUUAUGAAAACAAACUUUCGGGAUCCAUACCUUCAUCAAUUGGGAGGCUAACCAAUCUUAUUGAAUUAGAUUUUUCUGAUAAUAAGUUGGUCGGGCAUAUCCCUGCUUCACUAGGAAACCUAAGUAGUCUAAAUGUUCUUUAUCUUGACGGAAACCAAUUUUUAGGGUCCAUUCCUCCUUCUCUUGGAAAAUUAGGCAACUUAAGAAAUUUGAGCCUAGCAAAGAAUGACCUUUCUGGUCCCAUUCCAAGAGAGAUAGGUGACCUAAGAAGAUUGAAGUUUCUUUACUUAUGGAUGAACCAACUUUCGAGAUCCAUACCUUCAGAGAUUGGGAGGCUAACCAAUCUUAUUGAAUUAGAUUUUUCUGAUAAUAAGUUGGUCGGGCAUAUCCCUGCUUCACUAGGAAACCUAAACAGUCUAAAUGUCCUCUAUCUUUACGAAAACAAACUUUCGGGAUCCAUACCUUCAGCAAUUGGGAGGCUAACCAAUCUUAUUGAAUUAGAUUUUUCUGAUAAUAAGUUGGUCGGGCAUAUCUCUGCUUCACUAGGAAACCUAAGCAGUCUAAAUGUUCUUUAUCUUGACAGAAACCAAUUUUUAGGGUCCAUUCCUCCUCUUGGAAAAUUAGGCAACUUAAGAAAUUUGAGCCUAGCAAAGAAUGACCUUUCUGGUCCCAUUCCAAGAGAGAUAGGUGACCUAAGAAGAUUGAAGUUUCUUUACUUAUGGACGAACCAACUUUCGAGAUCCAUACCUUCAGAGAUUGGGAGGCCAACCAAUCUUAUUGAAUUAGAUUUUUCUGAUAAUAAGUUGGUCGAGCAUAUCCCUGCUUCACUAGGAAACCUAAGCAGUCUAAAUGUCCUCUAUCUUUGCGAAAACCAACUUUUGGGAUCCAUACCUUCAGCAAUUGGGAGGCUAACCAAUCUUAUCGAAUUAGAUUUUUCUAAUAAUACUUUGACUGGUUCAAUCCCUUCAUCAAUUGGAAGCAUGGUCAAUUUAAUUGUGUUAUGCCUUAGUGAUAACAACUUUCUCGGUAUCUUGCCUCCUGAAAUUAACAAGAUUAUUCAUUUGAGUGUUUUGGAGCUCUCUGAUAAUGAACUCGAAGGGCAGCUGCCAGAAAAUAUAUGCCUGGGGGGGAUUAUUGCAAAAUUUCACUAUGGAGAAUAAUCAUUUCACAGGUCAUAUCCCUAAAAGCUUGAGGAAUUGUACUUCAUUAUAUAGAGUGAGGCUCGAAGGAAAUAAACUUACUGGAAAUGUAACAGAAGCUUUUGGAGUAUAUCCGCAACUGAAUUUUAUGGACUUGAGCCACAAUUAUUUGCAUGGUGAACUUUCAUGGAAAUGGGGGCAUUGCCACAAUUUGACGAGCUUAAGGAUAUCGAACAAUAAAAUUUCCGGUGAGAUACCCUCGAUAUUCGGAAGGAUGGCUCAAUUACAGUUUCUUGACCUUUCUGCAAAUAAUUUAAGUGGAAAGAUUCCAAGGGAGUUGGGAAGCUUGCACCUACUACUAGAUCUUAUCCUUAACAACAAUGGGAUCACAGGUGAUAUUCCCCAUCAAAUUGGAUUUUUAUCUCGACUAGAAUAUCUCAACCUAGGAUCAAACAAUUUGAGCGGAGCCAUUCCACCGCAGCUCAGCCUAUGCACCAACUUGCUGAGCUUGAACUUGAGCCAAAAUAAAAUUGAGAGAAGCAUUCCUUCCGAGAUAGGCAAUGCGCAAUUCCUAAGGGUUCUUGAUUUGAGUCAAAAUCUAUUGACAGGAAGAAUACCACCAAAUCUAGGAAAAUUGAGAGUCCUAGAAACCCUAAACAUCUCCCACAAUGGCCUCUCUGGUUCCAUCCCAUAUAGUUUUGCUGACUUAUGGGCAUUAAUUUCUGUUGAUGUGUCCUACAAUGACUUGGAAGGUCCUCUCCCAAAUGUCAAAGCUUUUAAGGAGGCUCCAUUUGAGGCAGUUCAGCAUAACAAGGGGUUGUGUGGGAACGAGACUGGAUUACAGAAAUGCAAUAUUUCUACCAUGAGCAAGAAACACAAUCAACAUGGCGGGGCUAGAAUUUUGAUUAUCCCCGUUCUCUCAUUCUUGGGAUUCCUCAUUCUCUCUUCCUUCUUGAUCGUCCUCAUAAUCUUUAAUUGCCAUCGGAGAAAGAUUAUCAAGAGAGAGAGAGAGGAAUGUAUUGACAGAGACUAAUGAUUUAGAUUUCAUGCACAUUCUGAGUUUUGAUGGCAAAAUUUUCUAUGAGAGAAUCAUGGAGGCAACAGAAGGAUUUGACUCCAAGUAUUAUUUGGGAGAAGGGGCCUAUGGCGUUGUUUACAAAGCUGAUCUGUUGC
rnacentral:lncRNA from 1 species